GACGAACGCUGGCGGCGUGCUUAACACAUGCAAGUCGAACGGAAAGGCCCUGCUUGCAGGGUACUCGAGUGGCGAACGGGUGAGUAACACGUGGGUGAUCUGCCCUGCACUUCGGGAUAAGCUUGGGAAACUGGGUCUAAUACCGGAUAGGAGCCAUCUUUAGUGUGGUGGUUGGAAAGUUUUUUCGGUGUAGGAUGAGCUCGCGGCCUAUCAGCUUGUUGGUGGGGUAAUGGCCUACCAAGGCGGCGACGGGUAGCCGGCCUGAGAGGGUGUACGGCCACAUGGGGACUGGGAUACGGCCCAGACUCCUACGGGAGGCAGCAGGGGGGAAUUUUGCAAAAUGGGCGCAAGCCUUAGGCAGCGACCCCGGGUGGGGGAUGAAGGCCUUCGGGUUGUAACCUCCUUUCGCUGGGGACGAAGCUUUUUGGGACGGUACCUAGAUAAGAAGCACCGGCUAACUACGU
rnacentral:rRNA from 1 species